GCCUGGGUGGCUCAGUCGGUUGAGCGCCUGACUUUGGUUCAGGUCAUGAUCUCCUGGUCUGUGAGUUCGAGCCCCACGUCGGGCU